GGGUUCUGCUAUCUUGUGUGAUGAGGGGGGAAAAAUGAUCUGUUUUAAAUGAUGAUGCAAAAAAAAAAAAGGAUCAAAGCCUUGACUUUCUGUUAGCAAUAAUAAGUUCUGUCUUGCACAAAGCUUCAACUUCAGGCUUUAAUAUAUAAAAUAUACAGGAGCCCAGUAAAAGCGCUGAAAAGGUACAAAGUCUGAAAACAAAAGGGGACGCUGCUCCUUUAAACGUUUUAGUGCAUAUGGAGUUUGAUUUCUGAAAGAGAUCAGUUUAACAUCUCCAUAGAAACCAGCAACAGAUUAUCAUCAACAGAAUAAAUAACUAGUCUAAUAAAUUAAACAGGAGGCAUAAGAUCUGGAAACUUGAUUACUGAAGUUCAACAAUAUUCUCCCAUAAACUCUUCCAAGCCACCUUUAGGGUAGCUAACCAGGUGGCAGCGACACACAGAUAAAAGGAGGGCGGGCGUCGCGCAAAACCCGGCCUGGAGUCCGCCGCCGCCCGCCCCGGCCCGCCCGGGGUCGGAAAGGGGGGAGCGGCGGGAGGGAGCGGGCACGGAGCGGACUCGGUCUCCAGGCAGGCAGGGCAGGCAGUCAAGGGAGAGGCGCCUGCAAAACCCGGACCGGAUCACCCUCCCCUGGCAAGGGAAAAGCCGGCUGACCCCUGUUCACCGUAGAUCCCGGAGACUAAACUCCAUGGAGAUGACUAGGUUGUGUGUACUGCUUUAUUCUCCUGCUGGUUUUCCUAGGCAUGAUGUUCAGUUGCUAUUCUACAAACUUCUAAACUUCUGACUUUUGCUAAUGUUCUUUUUCUGGAUUUCACUGAAGUUUAGAACUAACCAUUGUCUUGGAUCUACAACUGUAGUAUUUCUCACUUUGGCUAUGCUGGCUUUGCUGGCUUUGCUGGCAGUUGCACACAGGAUUAACUUUUGUGGGUCUGGAUCCUAGAGAAAAUGCCAAGGAGCAAAUGUGCAAGCUGUGAGCAGCCUUGUAGUCUGGGCUGGUUUUGGGAGAUGUUGCACGAUCAGAGACAAGAGUUCUCAUGCACCUGAAUUUCCAACAGGCAGGCAAUUACAUUUCUGUGUUAAACUACUUUCCCCAGCUCCACCUUUCAUUUCACUGAGACAAUGAGUAUACAGUUGCAUGUGCACAUUUUGUGGUGGCAAUUCCUUAGAAGCAUCCACAGAGACCUUUUCCUUCAUCCCCUGAUUGCCUCUACAGGAGCCAAGAGCCUGAGCUUACUGGCAUCAUGCUCUCAGCACUGGGGCUUGGAGGUACAGCUGCCUGCCUGCCCAGACAGUAGGUCUGUGGGAUGGAUCUGCCUCCAUCAUAGGGCUUGCAGGAUUUGGGCCCUAGGCCAAAGCUAGGCAAACCUGUACACUCUUGGAUAAUUUUGCUCAUUGGAGCAGGGAGCUCCGCAUGAGCACACCCACACAGAAGCCCUUGCAGGAGCAUCUUGUUCUUCCCAUGCGCUUCCCUGUCUGUGUCUGUCUUCACCUGUUGCCUCUUGUCCAGUGUUUACACCAUCAGCUCUUUGGGGCAGAAACCAUGUUUUUUUCUAGAUUUGUCAGUGCCUUGCACAAUGUGGCCCAGCUCCAUAACCUCAACUCCUAUAUGCUAUUGCUACACAAAUAAAUAAUAAUAAUUAAUAAUAAUAGGCUAAUUUGUGUGAUUUUGAUGUGACUACUCAUGUGAGUAAAAGUGACUCACAUACCUGAGCGUCUGUGGGACUACUGCCAGGUCUUGAGCUUUUAUUGUGAGUCUUCCAUAUUUCGUGUUCUCUUUUGAUCCCCAGCUCCUGGAAUGACUUGUUUCUAGCCCUUGCAUUUACACAAGGACACUUGGAAAUGUGGCCUAGUGCUGUCAAAAGCCUCAGAAGCCAGAGAACAAAUACAGAACUUCCCAAAAAUGAAAUUUUAAUGGCUUUUGUGAAAAUCCUGUGAUUUGGCAGCUGAGGGAGGAGUGGAGUCUGACUCCUGAAUUUUGAGCAGUCAAGUUUAGCAAUAUGCAGCAAUUGAGUUAAAUAUUUUGGUCCCUGUAAAGACUAGACUUCUACUAACCAGGCCAAACUUAUAGUGCAGAGACAUAUUUUGUGGAAAUAAUGUUUAAAAUACUGGUGUCUUUGAAAAAUCUGAGGUUUUGUAUAUUUGCAUAUUGUUUGGAAUUUGCCACUCUGUAGUUUUUUAUUUUUACCUGUUCACAACAAGAAAGCAGGAAAAAAAGGCAUGAAAAUGGGAUUAUUAAAGUAAAUAGGACCAUGUGAGAUUGUUAUAAUAAUUGUGGCAAGUAUUUAUAAAUUGGUGAAAAUGCAACCAGCAAACUUCUUGAAUUUGAUAUGCUGGAGAGACACUGCCACUGUGUUUCUGAAAAAAUGUCCUGACUUCUUCUCACAACAGUAAAAGAGAGCAGGUCCCAAGCAAUGAAUUCUUGCUUAUGAGGCAUCCCUGAAGAAUGAAGGGUUGAGAGAAUAGGGCCCUUUAAUUAAACCUGCAUUGUUAUUUUAAAUUGCAUUUACUUACUAUUUUCUCUUGUUCAUAUUUUUGCAUUUCUCUCAUCUAAGGUGUUGAACACAGACUGAAUGGUCUUCCUUCUGUUUGGAAGUUUUCUAGUUUUGAAGUGCUGUGGAGCUGGCCUAGGAGGAGCACUUGAGCAAGUGUUUUUGAGGUGGUCCUGUUUAUCACCACAGAUCUCUUCUGCCUAUGCUCCCCUACAUGUGGUGGGAGGCUCAGACACUGUAUGAGCUGUGUGUCUGACAGCUUUGAGUCUCCUUCCAGACCACAGCUCACUCAAAGCCCAUUCAGCUCUCUGAUGUUCACUAUACGAGCCCCAGAGCGCCCAGCUCCUCAGCCAGAUAGAACAGGAGGUAAUGACACCUUACACAGCCCGUUCUAGAUAGAAAGAAAAUAAUUUAGCAAACUGCAAAUGAUGCGUACUUAACUAUUUAUGCAGCAUCUUCCUGUCAUCAACCCAAAGCAAUUUUACUUCCGUGUUGAACAGUGGAUGAAAAUGUUCUAUAGAUUUAACCAUUGCAGGAGAUCCUUUUAAGUGGUGCAGUAAUCUCUCUCCAGCUAAUUUAGUGUUGUAAUAAGGCACCACCCUCACAACUCCUUUGUGUUCUUGUGUCAAUACUGCCCCCAAACCAAAAAUGCUGGCAUCUGCGUCUGUCAGAAAAGUGGGCCUGAAACGCAGACCAAGAAAGGAGCAAUAUGGCCAUCGGUGGAGCAAUAUGGCCAUCAGCAGGGCGAUCUCAAAAGUCUUUUGCUAAUUCUGAACAUACCCAGUUUCAUUCAGAUUUCCUCUAAAAUGUGUUUUACUUUCUCAACAAGCCCAUGAUAUGGUUUAACACUGGAAAAUUCAACAAUAAACCUCAAACAGAAGCUGACUGAGAUGUAUCUGGUGAGUCAGAAUCCUUCAGUACAGAUUCAGUUUAUUUCUUGCCCAUGGGGAUUCCUUGCCCACUGCUCAGGAUUCAACUUGAACCAAAUCAUGUCUCUUGUUGGGACUGAAGAUCCUUAA